UACGUAGGGGGCAAGCGUUGUCCGGAUUUACUGGGCGUAAAGCGUGCGCAGGCGGUUUUGUAAGACAGGGGUGAAAUCCCAGGGCUUAACCUUGGAACUGCAUUUGUGACUGCAUAGCUAGAGUACGGUAGAGGGGGAUGGAAUUCCGCGUGUAGCAGUGAAAUGCGUAGAUAUGCGGAGGAACACCGAUGGCGAAGGCAAUCCCCUGGACCUGUACUGACGCUCAUGCACGAAAGCGUGGGGAGCAAACAGG
rnacentral:rRNA from 1 species